GUGAACAACGGAAGAGCUGAUGGUAGCGAAAGAGGAAGGGACGGCUAACUCUGUGCAGCAGCCGCGGUAAUACAGAGGUCCCGAGCGUUGUUCGGAUUCACUGGGCGUAAAGGGUGCGUAGGUGGUGAGGUAAGUCGGAUGUGAAAGCUCGGAGCUCAACUCCGAAAUGGCAUUGGAAACUACCUUGCUUGAGGAUUGGAGGGGGGACUGGAAUUCUCGGUGUAGCAGUGAAAUGCGUAGAGAUCGAGAGGAACACCAGUGGCGAAGGCGAGUCCCUGGACAAUACCUGACGCUGAGGCACGAAAGCUAGGGGAGCAAACAGGAUUAGAUACCCUGGUAGUCCUAGCCGUAAACGGUGCACGCUUGCUGUAGGCGGAAUCGACCCCGUCUGUGGCGAAGCCAACGCGAUAAGCGUGCCGCCUGGGAAGUACGGUCGCAAGAUUAAAACUCAAAGAAAUUGACGGGGGCCUGCACAAGCGGUGGAGUAUGUGGCUCAAUUCGAUGCAACGCGAAGAACCUUACCUGGCCUUGACAUGCAAGUAGUAGGAGGAUGAAAGUCUAACGACCCCGCAAGGGGAGCUUGCACAGGUGCUGCAUGGCUGUCGUCAGCUCGUGUCGUGAGAUGUUGGGUUAAGUCCCGCAACGAGCGCAACCCUCGUGUCCUGUUGCAACCUUUACGAGAGUAGAGGGCACUCUGGACAGACUGCCUCGCUUUAACGGGGAGGAAGGUGAGGAUGACGUCAAGUCAGUAUGGCCCUUACGGCCAGGGCUGCACACGUACUACAAUGGCCGGUACAAAGGGAAGCAAGACCGUCAGGUGGAGCAAAUCCCCGAAAACCGGCCCCAGUUCAGAUUGUCGUCUGCAACUCGACGGCAUGAAGCUGGAAUCGCUAGUAAUGGCGCAUCAGCUACGGCGCCGUGAAUACGUUCCCAGGCCUUGUACACACCGCCCGUCACAUCAUGAAAGCCGGUUGUACCCGAAGUCAUUGUGUUAACCGCAAGGAUACAGAUGCCGAAGGU
rnacentral:rRNA from 1 species